rnacentral:rRNA from 1 species
GCAAGUCGAGCGGUAACACAAGGGAGCUUGCUCCUGAGGUGACGAGCGGCGGACGGGUGAGUAAUGCCUAGAUAUCUGCCUAGUCGUGGGGGAUAACAGUUGGAAACGACUGCUAAUACCGCAUACGCCCUACGGGGGAAAGGAGGGGACCUUCGGGCCUUUCGCGAUUAGAUGAGUCUAGGUGGGAUUAGCUAGUUGGUGAGGUAAUGGCUCACCAAGGCGACGAUCCCUAGCUGGUUUGAGAGGAUGAUC